ACGAAACAGACUAAUCAUGGAUUGCGAAUUUGCGAAAAAAUCUUCACAACUUGAAUCAUAAUUUGCGAAAAAAAAUUCACAACUUUAAUCAUAAUUACGAAAAAAAAUUCACAACUUACAUCAGAUUGAAACUCGAUUGGGUCAAAAUUAUCGUCCAUUGAAUAUCAAAUUAAAAUUUUUAGAUCUUCAAUGAAGUUUUUUAUAUCUAACAGUUAGAGAGAUGGAGAGAAUAUUUUUUAGAGAGAUAAAGGAUUUUUAGAAAGAAUAUGAUAAUAAGGGUUUUUUUAAGGCUGCAUUAGUAAAGUGAGGCUGCAUUUAGCAACCCCAAAAAAUAAGGGGAAAAGAAAAUGAAAACUGAUUUCCAUCUUCUUAGUUCUUCCCCUCCCCUCUUCUUCGCUCGUCUGAUUCAACAGCUCCAAAGGAGCCAAAUUGUCAACAAUUUACAACUCUUGUCAGUAGAGAUAUUAGGGGCAACAAAUUUCCAAAGCUAGUUUAACACCAUAGCCCUCUCACCUCACUUCCACCAUUAAUGGAGCUUGACUUAGCUCCACAAAUUCAGAAAAUUUUGUCUAUAAAUAGCAACUCAAGCACAUUCAAUUGCUCAAGCAAACAAGUUAAACUUCAAAGACUCCGAUUUCGUAGACGAGGAUUAUCAAGAGCGCUAAUCUGUUCAUGAACUUAACUUUUGGGCACGCGUCACGAGGUGGGUGAUCGAACGGGGGAACAAAAGGGAGAUAAUUUAGAGUGUCAUCCACUUAGCAUAUGAUUAGCUUCCGCUGGAACUCUGAAAUAUUUAGGCGGAAAUUAUUCAGUUGGUGACUUUUAAGUGAUUAAAGGUGGUCUAUCAUUUGGUUUACAUAAGGUACGUACAUACUUAUGUGUUAUGUGAUAUAGUAUCAUGAUUUAAGAAGGAAAAGUUGUAGUAUCAUGUAUAGGAACUUUGUAAGUUCAUAUGUGAUUUCUAGUAUGAUUGGAUUUUUUUCAUGUUUUAUGCAUGUGUGCAAACAUGUUGAUUAUGAGAUUUGAUUAUGAGUUAAAGAUUAUCGUGUUCGUAUGGUAUUACUGAUGCAAGCAUGUGGAUGGAAACUUUAGCUAUUAAUUCACAUGGGAGAAUUAAUAUAUUAUUGAGAUUGAAUCAUGUUUAAUCAUGUGUCCCUUAUAGUAUUAUUUUCACUAUUAUACAAGGAUUGUGGGUCUUAUUUGUGAAGUUGACAAGUUAUGCCUUUGAAAGGUAAGAUUGAUUGUUGGCAACAAAGUAAGAAAGAUCGGAAUAGAAGAAAGUAAUCUUGGAUUGUAAGUGGUGAGAUCACUUAUUAAAUCCUAAGAUAAAAAGAAGUUCAGUUGUGAAUAUUUGAUUUGAUUUUUUUGUGUUACUUGUGUGUGUGUCAUAAGUAAUAAAUUGUAAAUCACGUAAAGUGUAACUUGGAUAGUAAUAAACUUUAGACUGGUGCACGUCUAAAGUUGGACAAUUAGGAGUUGGGGUACAUGGUGAGCGUGCCAUGGCUUUUCUAGGAGAUGGAUUGAUCGUCAUUCCUAUAUUUCAAAGGUUCCUCGAUAUCGCAGGUCAUUCAGAAAUACAGUCGCGCCCGUAUUUCGUCUUCCUAGGUGAAUGUAAGUUUAGAUAAGACAACUUAAUCCAAUAACUAUUCCAUUAAAGUAAUAAAAAGAUGUUUAAAGUUUAGUUCAGUAGAAGUUAUCUACAGAAUGUUAUAAUGUUAUAUUAUUAUUAUUCAUCCCUGCAUGUUAUUUAUUACUAUCAUGUUAGAAAUGUUUAUGUAAUACUAUGUAGUACUCAGCUUUGCUGAUUACGUGUUUUGUUUGUGAUUGUUGAUCACGGCUUUGCCUUAUUGAUCCUGUGAUGACCCAUUUUGGUGAGCAGAUUCUUUAGAGUAUUUACAUUUACAGGUUCGCGGAUGUGCAUCACUGGAAAUCUGGAAACGGAGAGCUUUUGUAACAUAUUAUCAUAUUUACUAUCUUAGUAGGAACAUAUUAUAAUAAGUUUUGUUUGAAGUAGACAUUUAUAAGGUGUUUGGUUUUAAGUACUUAUUUAUUUACUAUAUUAAAGUAUGAAGUUUAGUUAUAUGUUUUUCGCUGCAAAAUUCUGAAUAAGUUGAUACAUUAUCACACGGUCGAUAAUGCUUGGGUAAUUCUCUAUGUUUUAUAUUGAAAAGGUAUUUCUGAAAAGGGAGAAUUAUCGGGGUGUUAUAAAGUGGUAUCAGAGCUUCAGGUUACUUUUAUAACUUUUAGGUGUCUAACUAACUUACUAGUUAUAUGAAUAAACUCUUAGAAUUAUCAGGGUGUUAUAUCUAUCAUAUCACAAGCAUGAAAUGAAUUGGAUUGGAAUCUUAUGAUUUAUUGUUGUAGCAAGGAUGUUAUAAGACGUUGCCUAAACUAAGAAAUUAAGCAAUGUAUCUAAGAAAGAACAUUAAAUGAUUAUAUGUUUAACUUUAUGUGGAUGAAUAACAAUAAGAAGGAUAUUUGAUGAUAAACUUAUAGUUGGAAUCCCUACAAGUAAUGAACAAUAGGGGGAGUGUGGGACCUGUUCUACACUCCUAUGCAGGCCUAUUGUGAUGGACCUGGAAGAGGGGGAACAUGCCAAGUAUCCGUGUGGGACCAUGUGACGACAGUAGUGUCCUUAUAAAUUUUGAUAACUCAAGUAGGCGGAAGGUUGCGUUCGAUCUUGGGGGUAUGCAUACUAAGGUGAUGGUUGUGAAGCAGAGCGAAACCACAUUUGUAUUACAUCUAAUAGACCAAGCUGUUUAUUCUGGAUUAAGUAACCUGUAUGAUUCUAGAAAGAUGAUGGUGCCUGUUCAUUGCCAAUUAAAUUAUAUAAGUAAUAAAAUGUAAUAUUGUUGUAGUAUCAUGUAUAGGAACGAAUAAUUCUUAUUACUUUGAUUAUGCUUGGUAUAUUAUUUCAUUGUUUAA